rnacentral:tRNA from 1 species
GGCUAGUUAGCUCAGUGGGUUGAGCGCGAUGCUGAGAACACCAAGGUCCCGGGUUCAAUUCCCGUUCAGUCCG